rnacentral:lncRNA from 1 species
CCUGAGCUUGGAUGUCUCCAGGAACGGGGCAUCCACCACCUCUCUGAGCAACCUGUGGUAGUGCUUCACUACCAUUACCACAAUAACUUCUUCCACAUAGCCGAUUUAAAUCUCCCCUCUUUUAGUUUGCAACCAUUUCCCCUUGUCCUAUCACAGCAGAACUUGCUGAAGAGCCUGUCCCCUUAUGUCUUACAGCCCCCCUUUGUUUUCAUUCGCAAGGCUCAGGAAAACCCAUGGAUCACAUCAAAGCACAGAAGAUGUGCUUGUUCCCAGGUCUCUCCUGCACUGCCAUUAAUCAGUGCACCCAGAGGGAGGAUGCACUUCUCGCUUAAUGGGGGCAAGGAGCAGGAGGAAGGCAAUCAACCCUCAUCAGCCAGCCCCUCAAUCACUGCACUUCACACAGCUGGGGGUAUGCAACCUCAUCUUCAUCUGAAAAUUUUAGUACCUUUUCUCUGAGCUGCCUCCGUUUUAUGCCUUUUUUUUUUUUCCCCCUCCCUCAUAAAUUUUUAUGAUUUUUUUUUUUAAGGGGAAUUUAUGAGCACAAUGGCAGAGAACUUGUGAAACGGGGAGCAGCUAAAAGGCUAUCAUGGUGGUAAAUGAGGCUAAGUGGUGAUAUACCACCAGCUGGUCGGGGCUCAGUGAUUGAGCCUAACUGACAAGAAAUAAUUACCUUCUCUCCAAGAGGUGAAAUGGGCUCUCACACUGAGUGCUGCUGGUGGAGGGGCUGUCCGGGGGGAAGCAGCAGUGUUUCCAGCAGCUUUUGUGCUUGGAGCCUUUGCAACAUCUUGCACUGAGGUUCUCUUGUAGGUGGGGAUGUCCUCCAGUGAAUCAGCAUGUUCUAGAAGGGGAACUGCUGCAAACAUCCCUGUCCUUCUCCACCCACAUAGUGGUGCAGGUGAGAUCUCCUGCCCCUUGGGUCUCCAACCUCACCUCUAUGCUAAAGCUGAAAUAGAAAGCAGAGCAGAGAAGUCAAAUAAGGUGAUAUCAAUAGCGUGUUUGUUACCUGCUGCAAAGCGCAGCCCGUCAGCCAGCAAGUUUCACGUGCUGCUGUCCUGUCCCCUUCUGCUUUGUGCAGGUGGUGGGGUGAAGGACAACAAAAUGAUCUUCUUGCUUUGCUGGGAAAGGUGCUGCUCCUUCUUUGCUGGGGAAGGGAAGAGGUUUCACUUCCUUCAGCAGAGGACCCGUAAGACCUGCUGCCCCAUGGACAGGUGGAACGGGGCUGCCUGGUUUCCAGCAGCUGCUCCAUAGCUCCCCGUAGCUCCCAGCACUGCAGGGUGGGAAGGUUCCACUGUGCUGCUUCUCACUCAUCU